AUGGGCCGCAGAGCCAUGCACAGAAGACGGACCUAGCCUUUGGGGAAGGGAGGAGGAGGAGGAUGUGGCCCGAUUAGCAAUAUAAUCAAAGUGAUGACAAUCGGGAAUAUUCUGUAUACUUAUGGCCUAUUGUAAGCUGCAAGUCACACCUUUCCAGUACUCCUCACCCCGCCCCAAACUCCACCCUCUAACACAGUUACCAUUCAAAAAUUAGCUGUUUAUCGAAAACAAAUGACAUUGCGAACAAACGAACAGACGAAAUGGACAUAGUUUUCAUUAAGCCAGCUUCUUCCUAUGGUGCUACCCGUUCCAGGGUUAGGACCAUAACCACCAGAGGAUUUGAAAAUGAGCCAGAGCUGAGAGGAUCACCAACAGAGCAUACAACCAUGCCGACAACCAUCCGUGAAGAUCAGUGGAUAAAGGACCACACCGAAAAAAACCUAUUCUUAAAAUGUUUACGCAGCAUUUGUAUGUUGGAGUCACUUUUACUUCUCAAUUGAUCUAGCGUUUCUAUCAUAGGCCACUAUAAUCGAUGGGGGCUCAGGGCGAUACCAUUCUACUCAUCUGAUGAAGGUGCACAUGGAUCAGGUUCAAACUUUGAAGACCUAGAUCGAGUCAUUGAAGGCAGACUGGCAGAAAGAGAAACAUUAUCUGAGGGCAGAGAUACGGGCGACAGCUGAUACUUUGGUUCAGAGCUGGGUGGUAUUGGCAGAGAGUCAGGCAGAGAAUGACUCAUUGAAGAGGGCGGGGAACGAGAUGGAGUCACAAUCCUUGCCAGGCACAACUGUGAGCUCUGGAGCUCCACCUCCAACAGACAGAGUCAACAUACCUGACGGGUUCAUCAGGUCGUCGGUUCACCCUGACAUUUCCAUUCCUCUUCUGACAACAGAACUUGACCAACUGCUCACCAGGCACAGCAAGGGCCGUCCAGACCGUUUUGCUGUUCUGCUAUUCCAAGGAUGUGUAAACGAAGAGAGAUACCACGAGCGGUCACAGAAUACCAACUGAGAAGUAUCCCGAGGAAAAUGUAGCUUACCAGUGAACCUCCGCUUGUUCAUCAUUACUACUGUGUCUCAGAAGUUUCUGUCCAUGACUGAUGCAACCCAAAAAAAGAAUUAAAGACAGUCAAGGAGGACCUGAGCCCUAGGACCAUGCCUCAGGACUACCUGGCAUGAUGACUCCUUGCUGUCCCCAGUCCACCUGGCCGUGCUGCUGCUCCAGUUUCAACUGUUCUGCCUGUGAUUAUUAUUAUUUGACCAUGCUGGUCAUUUAUGAACAUUUGAACAUCUUGGCCAUGUUCUGUUAUAAUCUCCACCCGGCACAGCCAGAAGAGGACUGGCCAUCCCUCAUAGCCUGGUUCCUCUCUAGGUUUCUUCCUAGGUUUUGGCCUUUCUAGGGAGUUUUUCCUAGCCACCGUGCUUCUAAACCUGCAUUGCUUGCUGUUUGGGGUUUUAGGCUGGGUUUCUGUACAGCACUUUGAGAUAUCAGCUGAUGUACGAAGGGCUAUAUAAAUACAUGUAAAAUACAUGUAUCACAACUAGCCUUGAUUGGUUGCAAUUUCAGUUUAAUCCACCAGAAAAGAGAAAACAAAAAAUACAAUAAAAAGUUGUAUUAUUAUGUAUCACAUCAAACCGUGAUUGGGAGUCCCGUAGGGCCGCACACAAUUGGCCCAGCGUUUAUCUCCCUCUAAAAACAGAAAUAAAUGUUUUGGCCUUUACAAAUAUUAUUUUGGCCUUUAAUCAGAUUACAGGCUCCCUUUUGUUUAAAAAAAACAACCUCCAAAAUAUCGUUAUAUAUUAUCAAGUUGAUGGCACAGUCAUAGAGCCAGCACCUACAUAAAGCUGAGUGACUCACUCAUUCAUGGCUUUGGAUCAAAAUAAAUAAGUACCAACAUUCUUUCUGAUAGUCUUUAAUAAAGAAAUGUUUUGA